AUUACUGAGUACUGCCUGCCCCUGCAGAGUCUCAUGGCUUUUGCAGCAGGACGGAGGUUCUUUCCCAGCUUCUCGGUGCUGUGUCUGUCUGUGGGCUCUGGGCCAUUCUGUCCUCACCAGGAAAUGUGCUGAGGAUACAGGAGGCAGAGGCCCUCCCUGGGAAUCUGCUGGAGAGCGACAUAAGGACAGAGAGCGACCAAUCAGUGCCCCCUGGCAACUGGGGAGGAGGGGAUGAGAAAAGCUUCCCAGGCCCAGGGGAGGCCGUGGGCCAAGCUGAUACCCCCCCAAAGCCUGGCAGAUGCAAGUCCCAGUCCCACUUGAAGACACCUGAAGAUAAGAGAGACAAUGUGAAGAUAGCUACAGCCACAGAGGAUUCCGAAUCAAGCCAUGUGGUGAGAGGCUGACAGAUCCUUCCCACUUCAAAGGAAAGCGCAUUGAUGUCACUUAGCCGGAAUGCCCACUCCACAGGAAGCACUCGGCACAGGACAGUCAUUUUCUCGGACAUAAAAAGACGCUGUGGCCAAACUGUGCGCUGGGCCACACCAGCACCAAGCCUGAGUAAGGCUCCUGAAGUCAAUGGAGAGCAGAACAUGGCCCUACGAGACAUAAGGAUUAAACCGAUCCCUCCAUCUUAAAAUGGAGGAGAUGCUCCUGCAUUCUUCAGCUUCAGCCGGCGAGGACGUCACAGCAAGAGAUGUUGCAGUGCUGUGACAUUGAGCUGCCAGGGGUUGAUAUUACAUGGCAGCGUCCCAGGGGCACUGAGGACGAGGUCAGCAGGAGGUCAGAUCCACAGCUCCACUGAUGUCAGUGGGGUCAUGCCCAUUUACACUAGCCCCUGGGGUUUAGCAUGGAAUCAUGCAUCAUCGACAACUCAGGAUUCAGGAGUUCCUAUAGGACAACCACUUAGGGUGGUAGGGGGAUCUUUAAAUCACCAAUAGCAGUUAGGUGAAGGAUGUUCAUUGUUCAGGGCUUUGUUUUUGCUGUAGCUGGAGAUCAUAUGAAAGCAGUUCUAGUUACAGUAGAACACCUAUUUUACAAACUAACCUGGGAUUGAGGAGUUCAUAAAACUAAAAAGAUCAUAAUAAUGAGGAUCUCAAAAGGACGGGAGGUCCAGUGCCUAAGUUGCAGGAUGGUGCACUGUAUUGCUAUCUUCAUGUCCUUCACACCACUGCAAAAUGGCUUCCAAUGCACUGAAGGCACUGGAAUGUGAAGAGAUGGAGACUUGUUCUUCAUCUUGUGUGAUUUGUUUUUCCCCGGCCAAGAAAAAAUGAUUUGUAUAAUUGGUCGUUCGUUAAGAUUGAUGCUCAUGAAAUUGAGGUUCUACUGUGUUGCUGUUAUUACUUGUCCCUAGGGAUUAUGUACUUAAUUUCUCUCUCGGACCUCUACAGUACUGCUGAUCUGGGCAGGAAGCAGCAUGAGAGAAGGAAGAGGAAGUAGGAAGAGUUACUCAGGACUGAGUUGUUCAAAGUCAGCAUUUGCUCUAGGCACAAAGCCGAGGGCUAAGUCUGAUCAGGAACCUUUGGACUCCAUCUACACAGACUGCACAUUCACCCCAGAGGCCACUUCCCUGGAACUUCAGCCCACAGUGUGAUGUGUGCAACUGGCAGUCAUUACAAGGGGGGUCAGAGAAGAACCAGUGCCUACGUUAAUAAGUCAGUUUGUCUCCAUCUUCUACGCUCACCAGAAUUUACUGUUUAAACAUUUUGCCAAGAAAUAGGACAGUGCUAACCUCACUCAGAAACCCCUGCAAACAAAACAAGCCUGUUAAACCAAAAAGAAGAAAGGGCAUUUAGUUUCCCCAUUGUGCUGGAAAUGGACCACUUUGGGACAGCAAUGCAGGAGCAGGGGGAAAGCAGCAGCCACAGAGAAUGGUUUGUCUCUUGCAAUUUUUCAAUCAAUAUCUGGACAUUCACCAAAUAAAAGCUAAGAGGAGAAAGUGAUAAGUGUUGGAACAGGAGAGAAGCUGAAAGGAGAUACUGUACAGGAAGGAAGGAGAAGACUACGAGACCUGCAGAAAGGAAGAGACCACGGUGAAACAGCCCAGACUGGAGGGGAAAAAGGGAGGAAAUAGAAAAAAGAAAAGUCGCUGUGCUCAGAGAGAUCCUGCCACUGAACCACAGUGGACUUAAUACUAAAGAGGGUGGUGUGACAUUCCCUUCUGGUGUUAUCUGGACUGGUGAUCUGCUAGGCCUCUCCAAUCCUUGACUCUGGGAGCCAGCCUUACCCUGCUCUCCUGUGAGAAC